rnacentral:rRNA from 1 species
CCUACGGGGGGCAGCAGUGGGGAAUAUUGGACAAUGGGCGAAAGCCUGAUCCAGCCAUGCCGCGUGUGUGAAGAAGGCCUUUUGGUUGUAAAGCACUUUAAGCGGGGAGGAGGGCACCACGGUUAAUACCCGUGAAUGUCGGACGUUACCCGCAGAAUAAGCACCGGCUAACUCUGUGCCAGCAGCCGCGGUAAUACAGAGGGUGCGAGCGUUAAUCGGAAUUACUGGGCGUAAAGCGCGCGUAGGCGGCUUGUUAAGUCAAAUGUGAAAUCCCCGAGCUUAACUUGGGCAUUGCAUUCGAUACUGGCAAGCUAGAGUAUGGGAGAGGAAGGUAGAAUUCCAGGUGUAGCGGUGAAAUGCGUAGAGAUCUGGAGGAAUACCGAUGGCGAAGGCAGCCUUCUGGCCUAAUACUGACGCUGAGGUGCGAAAGCAUGGGGAGCAAACAGGAUUAGAUACCCUAGUAGUC